rnacentral:rRNA from 1 species
CCUACGGGUGGCAGCAGUGAGGAAUAUUGGUCAAUGGGCGAGAGCCUGAACCAGCCAAGUCGCGUGAAGGAUGACGGCCCUACGGGUUGUAAACUUCUUUUGUCAGGGAGCAAUUGAGUCCACGUGUGGGCUUAGCGAGAGUACCUGAAGAAAAAGCAUCGGCUAACUCCGUGCCAGCAGCCGCGGUAAUACGGAGGAUGCGAGCGUUAUCCGGAUUUAUUGGGUGUAAAGGGAGCGUAGACGGCAGCGCAAGUCUGAAGUGAAAUGCCGGGGCUUAACCCCGGAACUGCUUUGGAAACUGUGCAGCUAGAGUGCAGGAGUGGUAAGUGGAAUUCCUAGUGUAGCGGUGAAAUGCGUAGAUAUUAGGAGGAACACCAGUGGCGAAGGCGGCUUACUGGACUGUAACUGACGUUGAGGCUCGAAAGCGUGGGGAGCAAACAGGAUUAGAUACCCGAGUAGUC